rnacentral:rRNA from 1 species
UACGGGGGGGGUAAGCGUUGUUCGGAAUUACUGGGCGUAAAGGGCUCGUAGGCGGCCAACUAAGUCAGACGUGAAAUCCCUCAGCUUAACUGGGGAACUGCGUCUGAUACUGGAUGGCUUGGAUUCGGGAGAGGAAUGCGGAAUUCCAGGUGUAGCGGUGAAAUGCGUAGAUAUCUGGAGGAACACCGGUGGCGAAGGCGGGUCUCUGGGCCGUAACUGACGCUGAGGAGCGAAAGCGUGGGGAGCGAACAGG